GAUGAAGAACGUAGUGAAAUGCGAUACGUAAUGUGAAUUGCAGAAUUCAGUGAAUCAUCGAAUCUUUGAACGCACAUUGCACUCCUUGGUAUUCCGAGGAGUAUGCCUGUUUCAGUAUCAUGAGCACUCUCACAUCUAACCUUUGGGUUAAAAUGUGGAAUUGGGAUGCGCCGGUUAUUAUAACGGCCCUCCUAAAAUUCAGUUCUUGGCUGCUUCCUACUACAGCAGUUUGGCCUAAUAGUUUUGAGUCUUCGAUUCAAAUCUUUGGCUAACAUUUGCUUAAGGAUGUCAGUCUUGAUAUACAGAAAUCUCAUUCAAACUUUGAUCUGAAAUCAGGUAGGGCUACCCGCUGAACUUAAGCAUAUCAAUAAGCGGAGGA
rnacentral:misc_RNA from 1 species